AUACGGAGGAUGCGAGCGUUAUCCGGAUUUAUUGGGUUUAAAGGGUGCGCAGGCGGGCGAUUAAGUCAGCGGUGAAAGGCUCGGGCUCAACCGGAGCAGUGCCGUUGAUACUGGUUGUCUUGAAUGCGGUCAAGGCCGGCGGAAUGUGGCGUGUAGCGGUGAAAUGCAUAGAUAUGCCACAGAACACCGAUAGCGAAGGCAGCUGGCCGGGCCUGCAUUGACGCUCAGGCACGAAAGCGUGGGGAUCGAACAGGAUUAGAUACCCUGGUAGUCCACGCUGUAAACGAUGGACACUCGUUGUCGGCGACAGACAGUCGGCGGCCAAGCGAAAGUGAUAAGUGUCCCACCUGGGGAGUACGGUCGCAAGGCUGAAACUCAAAUGAAUUGGCGGGG
rnacentral:rRNA from 1 species